GUCAAUGGGCCUUGCUACCCUGAACAAGCCUGAUCUCAUCUGAUCUCGGAAGCUAAGCAGGUUUGGGCCUGGUUAGUAUUUGGAUGGGAGACCACCUAGGAAGACUGGUGCUAUAGGCA
rnacentral:rRNA from 1 species